GAUGAACGCUAGCGGCAGGCCUAAUACAUGCAAGUCGAACGAUAUAACCCAGCUUGCUGGGUUAGAAAGUGGCGCACGGGUGCGUAACGCGUAUGCAACCUACCUUAAUCAGGGGGAUAGCCCGGAGAAAUCCGGAUUAACACCGCAUAAAAUCACAGUUCAGCAUUGAACAAUGAUCAAAUAUUUAUAGGAUUAAGAUGGGCAUGCGUGUCAUUAGCUAGUUGGCGGGGUAACGGCCCACCAAGGCGACGAUGACUAGGGGAUAUGAGAGGAAGGCCCCCAGGACUGGUGCUGAGACACGGACAAGAGUCGGAGGGGAGGCAGCAGUAAGGAAUAUUGGUCAAUGGAGGGAACGUGGAACCAGCCAUGCCGCGUGCAGGACGACUGCCCUCUGGGUUGUAAACUGCUUUUAUUCGGGAAUAAACCUGCUUACGUGUAAGUAGCUGAAUGUACCGAAGGAAUAAGGAUCGGCUAACUCCGUGCCAGCCGCCGCCGUAA
rnacentral:rRNA from 1 species